rnacentral:lncRNA from 1 species
GAUAAAUAGUUUGCACCUGAGCCAGGCUUGCGUUACUUCCGUGACUUCAGUCUUUGCUCUCCUACCCUCUCACUUACUAGCUGAGCGCUCUGGGGGAGGUUAUCUAACCUUCCUGAGCCUCGUAUUCCUCAUACCGAAAACGGAGGUAACCAGAGUAACUACAUCCAAAAAUUGAGAGAACUGAAUGAGAUAAAUAAGGCGAGGUGUUUUUAACACGUCCUGCACAUGAAGACAAUACCAUGAUCAUGAAAUCACUGGAGAAAUCUGCCGGGGAAGGGCUGUGAGGAUAGUCUCAUCUGUAACGCAUGUGUCCUCCAGAAAAAAAGUAUAUGGCUUUCAGACUAAAUUUUACUCCUUAUCCAAAUGGAAAGAAUAUCUAAAGAGACAAAGUGUAAUAAUCCAAGAAUCUUCUAUUGUGAGAAUAAUGGAGAUUGACAUUGUGAAGUAUAUAGAAAAACAUAAAAGGGGCGCCAGGCAUAUCUCUUCUCACACAUGCUUGAGUGACUGCCAGCCAUCUCCCUGUAAGAAGGUCUGCAUAGGGAAAUAAGCACUACUGAACGGAGACCAAUUAUUAGAUGGCACUGUUGCGAUUCCAGCCAAGCAAGAGAGAAGCAGUGCUGUAAGACAGAAGAAAAUAAUCAAGAAAUUCAUUUUGGACCCUCGUGGUUGUGUCUCCAAACUACAAGCAGUGGUUUAGAACAGGCGGAGUAGGAUAAGAGCAAUGAUGGCAAGAACUGAAGGCUGGGGACAGGAGCGUCACCAAGGGAGAAAGGAGUGAAGAGGAAAACAGUGCAAACUCCUGAAGAUCCAGUUGGAAGGAAGAGAAAUCAGAUGAAUUAUAAUCAACCAUUUUCACUGCAUUUCCAAGAAUGAAAAAUUAAGAUAAUAAAUAGACAAAUUUACAACCACAGAAUAUCAUGUUUAAAAGAUUCUGUAGGAAAAAAGAAAUAUGAUUUCAUUAAAACAUUGACUUUAAAAUAGACAUAUUAAGAUAGAAAUAUCAAACCAAAUUAUGAACAUUAAAACAAACUAUUUUUAGGAAUAAUUCUAGGUUGGGCCUUCAAUUUUACAUCAGUGAUUUUAUUUUGGAGUGAUUUGGAUUUUUUGUCUCUAGACCAGCACAAGUGGAUUAUUAUCAUUCAGUCUUUGAAAGGAGAAGAUACAGUUUCCAGUCACUAAUUUACAAUAUUGUUCUAUCAGUAUCUUCCAUGAGAGGUGAUUUAAUAAAUUUUUUCUCAAUGUGAAAAGAUCCAGGAGACCCUGUUGCA